rnacentral:lncRNA from 1 species
UUUUACAAAAUUAUAGUAUGAUAGCAAAAACAGAAAAGUGACAUUCACAUGGCCAAUUCACAAAGGCCAUUCAUGUGUCCCUUUCAUAGCUACAACCCUUCCUACCUCCUUAUCUAUUGGUCUUCAUUUGCAGUUUUCUUUAGUUUUGUUCAUUUUUUACACUGUUAAACAAAUAAAAUUGUAAUCCGCAACCUUGGGAAGUUAUAUUUUUCCCUCUCAGAACAGUUCUGUGCUAUUCACUGGUAUUGCUGGGUAACAUUUCAUACCAGAAACAUGAUGGGUUCAGAUUGUUAAGAGGUUGUUAUUACUGGUGGUGGUGGUAGUGAUGAUGGUUGGUUGUUUUAGUUUGUGUGUGUGUGUGUGAUAGUUUUGUUUGUUUAUUACAAAACUUCUACUACUGAGUCUUCCACUGAGCCACAUUCCCAGCCCUACAACUAGGGUUUUUAAAACUGUUUCCACAUUGAUAGACAUCUGAGUCAUUUCUGGUUAGGGGUGGUGUAGAUAAACUGUAAAUUCAUGUAUAAUUUUCAUAUAAACAAAAUCUUUUAUUUCUCUGGAAUAUAUGGCAAGGAGUACAUCACUGACUCGUCUGUAUGGCCUCCUCAUACUUAUAGCCUUUUUCCCAAGUGGUUCACUGCGCCCACAGCAGUGUGGCUUCCAGACUUUGUAUGUAGCCGUGUUUGCUGCUCUUGCUGUUUCUGUGUUAGCAUUCUGUAUAGCAUGGUUUAAGUUGAUAGCUGCCUAGUGGCUGGCUAGUGGUGUAGAGUAUACUUUGGGUACUUGUUUGCAUGUGUCUGUUCUUUUCAUGGUUUUUUCUCUAAUUCUUUUAACCAUUAUCUAUUUGCACAUUGAUUUAGUCACAUUGGGUUUUGUUUCUUCACACACACAUAUGCAGCUUGCAAUGGUCAUGCCCAUCCCCCUUUGUACCCCAUCUUCUACACCAGUCACAGUUCUACUCUUCCCCUGAUCCUCCAUCAUCUCCCCUCAUUCACAUCACAGACCCUGGUCUUAUUACCAGUUCAUGUUAUAAUUUAUUCUUCUACUGGGGUAAGAUGGCAUUUCUUUGAAGCUUUGACCUCUAUUCCCCUGAUGGCUAGUAAUAUUGAGCAUUUUCUCAUGUAUUUAUUGGAUAUUUAUCUCCACAUUUUGUGAAGUGUAUAGUCAGAUCAUUCUCUGAAGUUUUUUACUGAGUUACUUGGGCUUUGAUAAGUUUUUAAGCUCUUUAUAUAUUCUAGAACAUAUCACCAUGUUGUUCUUCAGGUCUCAAAGUUCUAGCCAAUCAACUUCCUCUUCUUCAUCUUUCAGACUCUUCUUGUAAAAUAAAUACAUGGAUGGAUGGAUGGAUGGAUGGAUGGAUGGAUGGAUGGAUGGAUGGAUGGAUGGAUAAAUGGAUGGGUGGAUGGAUAGAUGGAUGGAUGGAUAGGUGGGUAGGUGGGUGGGUAGGUAGGAAGGAAGGUAGGUAGAGCACCACUCAACAAUAGAAGCAUGUUCUCAGAAGUGUUUCAUUGGGUGUCUUCACAUCAGUGCUUAACUAAGCCUUAUCUGCCCAGAGUAGCAUCUCUCUAAUGUUAGUAUGUCUCCUAUGGAAGUGCCAUUGCCCUUUUUUAAUACACUACGGUGUAAUGCACAGGAAAUAUUUGCUAGAAUUGAGCCUAAGAAUAAAUGUAACUAGGACUUAAGGAUCUUAAUCUUAGGGUUAAUAGCUAUGAGCUUUAUUUAGUUAACUGAUAGUUACACUCUUAUUUUUGGCUGACAUCACAACUUUUAGAAAAAUGCAGUAAUCAUUUUCUUUGUAUUGUAUGCAUUAUUCUUUCUGAUAAAUCAGAAUAUGAGUGUUCUAUAUUUGAAUGUUUUCUCCACCAAUAUCUUUUUUUGUUUGUAUUUUUAGCCAAGUGGACGAAGACCCAUUGAAAAAAUAGGAAUUUCAGUACAGAUUUGGGAAUUCAAAUAAUUUUCAAUCUUACCAAGAACAGGACUAGUAAUAUGAAGCAUAUGCCUCUCCACACGUGGGAAACUCAGGAUAGCUUCUUGACUUUCUUCCUCACCGGCUGUUAAUACCAGCAUUUGAUAUAUUUUAUCCUAGAAAAAUUACUUUUUCCAAUUUCAUUUUCACCCCUAGUUUUUCAUUUCUAACUCCUCAAAAUAUGGCAGAGUUUUAAAGUAUCAUGUUUAAAUGGUAUAAUUAUCCCCGUCUGAAAAAGAAAAGUAUUACAAGGCAACCUCUCCAGUUCCACAUACUAUCUCUUGGGGCCUCAGGUACUUUUACUGCUACUGCUUAUUAUGUUGCUACAGAAAACUGUUACCAUGGCACGUUAUUUGUUCCUAGGAAUACUUCCAGCAGGAGUAAAUGAUCCUGCACAGUGGAAGACUCGUGGGAAAGCAAAACAAACAGCUUGGCAUCUGGCUGUAGUGAGGUAGCUCACUUUGAGCUAAGAUGCUGUACACACUCCAUGAGACAGAGCUGCACAUGCUGAGCAGACACUACGCAAGACUCCAAGGCAGACUCUGUGUCUUCUGAGAACGCUCAGCCAGAGACAGUGGGUAAUGACGACACAAUCUUCUCAGUCUGAGUCCUACAGAGCUAGCGAAGUCUUCUUUCGUGCUCUCACCAUCUGUUCCUUCAUUCCCACUGCAUUUACCUGAGUUCCUGACACAUCACCACGUAAAUGAAACUCUGCAACUCCUGAUGGAAUAAGGAGAGAACUGUAGUGUAAGCAUUGCUGCACUUACUUAUUGAGACUUUGUCAUCCGCCUACCACAGAGGUCAAGAGCUGAAGCAUUGGCUUACUGGUCAGAUAUAUUCUGUCAGUGCUUUCAUUUAACACAUUUAGUUCAGACUAUAUAUUCUAUAGUCUUGGAUGUGAAAUUCUCUUCUGGGCACAUUUUAAUACAGAGAACAGGACCACUGUGGAAUGAUAUAAAAUAGUAGAAAUGGUAUCUUUGCUAUUAGAAUAACUUUAUAUUUCAGCAAGGAGCAUACCACCUCUUACCUUAAGAACCUACCGUUCCUCACUACUAAGUUGGCUGUGUUUUCUCAGCUUUCUCGUGCAGGACGUCUGUUUUUGUCUCUUCCUAGCUGAGCAUUUGCCUGUUGUUACUUUUGCUAGAUUGCUUCCUUCCUCCAUAAUUUUCAUGGCUGUCUCCUGUCUAGCUUAAAUGUCAUGUCUCCAGGGAGAAAUGAAAUAUGACUUUCUAAUUAGUGUUGUUUGUUUUAAUCAGAAUGCCAUAUAGAACUAAUGAGUGUGAGUUUUCAUUUUUCAAUGUACAAAGAAGUAAAUAGGACCAAGUACAGUAAGUAGAUCCCUCUGAGUUCUAAUCCAGACAGGUCACAUAGCAAGUUCCAGUCCAGCCAGAUACAUAGUGAGAUCUCUCCAAAAGCAAAAACAAAUGAAACAAAAGUAGUAAGUAAUUUACAUUAUAAUCUUUAUCCCCUGAUCAAAUAAAUAUCAGCUAAAUGGCUUUAAAACGAUCAGCUUGGACUUACUCCAUGGCUCAUUUGCUGCUGUAUAACUCCCUCUAAAACUUGCUAACAUAAACAGUGUAUUCUGAUGAUCUGUGUUGACUAUGUAGCUGUUGAUUGUCCCUUUGAGAAUGCUGUUGCACUCAGAUUUUAUCUGUGAUUCUGAAGUUUAUCUGUGGUGAUCUAAAGGUUCUGUUGAACUUGAAAUUCAUCAUGCUUCUUCAGACUUUUGUACUAGGGCUUGAUUAGCCAAUAUUGCUGGAAGCUAAUCAGGCAGUUCUCUGCCUUUAGCUAUGUCUCUCUUUAGCUAGCCUGGGCUGCAUCUCAACAUGGUGAUCUUAAGAUCAUCAAAAAUAAUGUUUACAUCCUGGUAUUUCCUAAAGUGAGUGUUCUCAAGCAGCAGGUUAAAUGCUAUAAAAUUUCAAAUAUAGCCUGAGAAGUCACACAGAAUCACUCUCAUAGCAGUCUGUCAGCUAUGAAUCUGUAAAUAGCAGUACUGACAUCUCAGUGAUAUAAGAUCUUCUAAUCCAUGAAUGUAGAUUAGCUUCCUUUGGAAUUUUUUCAUCUGUAUUUUGUAGUUCUUGAUAUAUAAGUCAUUUUUGCCUCUUUGGUUGAGUUUAUCCUUAAAAUAUGUGUGUGUGUGUGUGUGUGUGUGUGUGUGUGUGUGUGUGUGUGUGUGUGUGUGAUUUUUUGGGGGGGCUGUUCACUAUAUAAUGAUGUGCAUAGAAAUGUAUUUUUUUAAAGAUGCUUACCUAUUUUUAAAGAUUUUAUUUAUUUAUUUAUUUAUUUAUUUAUUUAUUUAUUUAUAUAAGUGCUUUAUUUGCAUGUAUGCCUGCAUGACAGAAGAGGAUAUCAGAUCCCAUUGUAAAUAGUUGUAAACCAUCCCUUGGAAACCUAAGGCGCUAUCCCCCAAUCCUGUAGUUCUCUAGAUAACCAGUUGCAUAGACAAGAUAGACCUUUAACAGUGGCCAGUGGUAACCUGGAACAGAAAGAACAUUAAAAGAGUUCAACCAGCUGUCCCCCAAGUUCCUACACAACAAAGUAGUGCCUUUGAACACUUUCCUACCUGUGCCAGGCUGGCAUUGCAGUCCUGCUUCUUAUCAAAUACUUAGUGAAUAAUGCAAACACAUUUUUCAAGAACAAAAUUUAACUGUUUAAAGUAAUACAACU